rnacentral:sRNA from 2 species
GGCAGGCGCGCGCCACCGCCCGGAGCCGGGGACCCACCCAGCACCAUCGGGGUGAAUCGGCCCGUGCCGCUUCCCGCGGCUCGGUCGUAGGGCACCUUCCGUACGCGCCCGAACCCGUCAGCUAACCCGGUAGGCGGUCCACGGAAGGAGAU